AAGUUAAGUAUCUAAAGGGCACAUGGUGGAUGCCUUGGCGGAAAGUACCGAAGAAGGACGUGGGAAGCUGCGAUAAGCGUCGGGUAACUGCUGACCAAGUUAAAAUCCGGCGAUUUCCUAAUGAGAUAACUUUUCCAUAAAGGAAAAUCCGAUAUUAUAUCGGAUAGGGAACCAGGCGAACUGAAACAUCUUAGUAACCUGAGGAAAAGAAAUCAAAAGAGAUUUCCUUAGUAGUGGUGAGCGAACGGGAAAAAGUCUAAACCUUAUUUGUUUUCUUUUGUAUAUUUUUGAUAUAAAAGAAAGGCUACGACCAUCUUAUAUGUAGUGAGUUAUUAAAUAAGGGGUUGCAAGAUAAUUGCUACGUUAGUCUUUUAUAAUUUGAAAAAUUACACCGAAGCGAAGCGAAGGUAAUAAUUUGAAAAAUUACACCGAAGCGAAGCGAAGGUAAUAAUUUGAAAUUAUUUUGGGCUAACUAACUAAGUUCGUAGGCUUAGAUGAAGUAAAAAAUCAAGAUUUUUAGUCGAAGGAUUCUGGAAAGGACAACCAUAGAGGGUAAUAGUCCCGUAGACGAAAAAAAUCUUGACUUCAUUACAAUUAUUCUUAAGUACCACGGGACACGAGAAACCCUGUGGGAAGCUGGGUGGACCACCAUCCAAGACUAAAUAUACUUUUUGACCGAUAGUGGACUAGUACCGUGAGGGAAAGGUGAAAAGCACCCCGGUUAGGGGAGUGAAAUAGUAUCUGAAACCAUGUGCUUACAAGAAGUCAGAGCCCCCCACCACUUUUUAUAAUUUGAGCAAAGUGAGAAUUAAGAUAUAAUUCAAAUUUCUGAAUAUUAUAAAUUGUGGAGAGUGGUGGGGGGUCAUGGCGUGCCUUUUGUAGAAUGAACCAACGAGUUAAUCUUAAUGGCAAGCUUAAUCCCGCCCUUUGAGGUUUAGUUUUUAAAUUAUUUCUAAUUCUAGACAACAAAGGGCGGGAGUAGGCGUAGGGAAACCAAGUCCUAAUAGGGCGAAAUAAGUCAUUAUGAUUAGACCCGAAACCAAGUGAUCUAUCUAUGGCCAGGGUGAAGUUCCGAUAAUACGGGAUGGAGGCCCGAACCUUUCUCAGUUGCAAUUGGGAGGGAUGAGCUGUGGAUAGCAGUAAAAAGCUAAACGAACUUGGAGAUAGCUGGUUCUCCCCGAAAUAGCUUUAGGGCUAGCCUUGUAGUAGAUUUAUGGAGGUAGAGCACUGAAUGGGCUUGGGGUUUUAUAACUACCAAUUCCAACCAAACUCCGAAUGUCAUAAAUUUUAUCUACAAGAGUCAGACUAGCAGGGAUAAGCUUGUUAGUCGAGAGGGAAACAACCCUGAUCAUCAUCUAAGGUCCCUAAGUUAUAGCUAAGUGUGAAAGGAAGUGAAAUUACUUGGACAACCAGGAUGUUGGCUUAGAAGCAGCCAUCAUUUAAAAAGUGCGUAACAGCUUACUGGUCAAGUGAUUUUGCGCCGAAAAUUUAUCGGGGCUUAAGCUAUACACCGAAGAUAUGAUCCUCCACCAAUUAUGGUGGGGGAGGUAGGGGAGCGUCCCUCACUUUACGAAGCUAAACCAUAAGGUUUGGUGGAAAGUGAGGAAGUGCGAAUGUUGGUAUAAGUAGCGAACUGUCCGGUGAGAAACCGGACCACCGUAAGCCUAAGGUUUCUCCGGCAAUGUUAAUCAACCGGAGGUUAGUCGGUCCUAAGCCAAAGCUGAAAGGCGUAGGUGAUGGAUAAUCGGUUGAUAUUCCGAUACCAUUAUAAAUUUUUUGACUUUAGGGGUGACGCAACGUGGUAGAUUGAGCAUGCUUUGGUUAUGUGUGUCUAAGUUUGUAGGGAGUGAUCCGACAAGCAAAUCUAUCGGAUCGUCCAAUCCUGAGGAACGAAUGAAAUCCUGAAUUAAGGAAAUUCGAUUAAUUCAUGUUGCCAAGAAAAACCUCGAAAAUAGAGUUUAUAAUGACCGUACCGCAAACCGACACUGGUAGGCUAGGAGAGUAUUCUAAGGUGAUCGAGAGAACCCUCGUUAAGGAACUCGGCAAAAUAGCGACCGUAACUUCGGAAUAAGGUCUUCCCCCACCACUUUGUUAGGAAGCCUAAAUAUAAAAUUGAGGUAUUUAAAAAUUUAUAUCUCUAAUUAUAAAAAGGUUUCUUACUAAAGUGGUGGGGGGCGCAGCGAAAGAGCCCAGGCGACUGUUUACUAAAAACACAGGACUCUGCAAAACCGCAAGGUGAAGUAUAGGGUCUGACGCCUGCCCAAUGCUAGAAGGUUACGGAAACCCCUGUAAGGGGGGGACCCAAGCCCUAGUGAAUGGCGGCAGUAACUAUAACUGUCCUAAGGUAGAAAAUCUGCCUUAGUAAAAUCUAGCUAUAUGCUGGAAAGCCUGUUCUCAUUAAAGAGUUUGAGUAUCUGGUGCUACUAUGGUAUAAUAUUUCCUUAGAAAGGGAAUAAAAUGCCAAGUAAAAAUGUAUCCAGUGCAGGCAAUCAGCAGGGAAGGCAAAAACUUAUAGGAUGGGUUGUUGGAUUUAUAGAUGGAGAAGGUUGUUUUUCAGUAAGUAUAAAUAAAAAUUCAACAACAUCUUCUGGCUGGCAAAUUUUUCCUGAAUUAGUUGUUACUCAGGGAAAGAAAAGUAUUUGUUCUUUAAAAGAAUUACAAGAUUUUUUUGGAUGUGGAAGAAUUUUUGUUAAUUAUCGACAUGAUAAUCAUAGAGAGGAUUUAUAUAGAUUUUGUAUAAGAAGUAUUGAUGAUUUACAUAAUAAAGUUAUUCCUUUCUUUCAGAAAAAUUCUCUAAAAACUGCUAAAAAAGAAGAUUUUCAAAAAUUUACAAAAAUAGUGAAAAUUAUGUCCAGAAAAGAACAUCUUAGUAAAAAAGGCAUGGAAAAAAUUGCUAAAAUUGUUCAGAAUAUGAAUCGUAAAAAACCAUCUAGAUUUUUGUUACCCUCAGAGACUAUACGCUAGACCCCAAUUUAAUAUUGGGGAAGAUAUAGUCCGAACUGCAUGGCGACAUGUAGAAUCCAUAUCGCUAUGGAUCGCUCCGAUGUCCAUCGGAGUCAUACCUAUCUCGUAAAAGAUAGGGAAGUAACAGAUUGAGCGAAAUUCCUUGUCGUGUAAGUUACGACCCGCACGAAUGGCGUAACGGUCUGGGCACUGUCUCAACGAGGGACUCGGCGAAAUUGCAAUACCGGUAAAGAUGCCGGUUACCCGCGACAAGACGGAAAGACCCCGUGAAGCUUUACUAUAGCCUGAUAUUGGGUUUUGAAAAAGUAUUGUGUAGCGUAGGAGGGAGCUUCGGCGCCAAUGAAACACCUCCCUUGNNNNNNNNNNNNGUCUGGUGGGUAGUUUGACUGGGGCGGUCGCCUCCUAAAGAGUAACGGAGGCGUUCAAAGGUUCCCUUAGUCCGGAUGGAAAUGGGGCUGAAAGUGUAAAAGCAUAAGGGAGCUUAACUGCGAGACUUACAAGUCAAGCAUGGACCAUAUGUCCACCAGCCUUUGGCUGGGAUGCGAAAGCAGGAUUUAGUGAUCCCCCGACAGCUUGUGGAAGUGUCGGGGCUCAACGGAUAAAAGUUACUCCGGGGAUAACAGGCUUAUCGGUCCCAAGAGUUCAUAUCGACGGACCGGUUUGGCACCUCGAUGUCGGCUCAUCGCAUCCUCCUGGUGAAGUAGCCAGGAAGGGUUGGGCUGUUCGCCCAUUAAAGCGGUACGCGAGCUGGGUUUAGAACGUCGUGAGACAGUUCGGUCCCUAUCUGUCGUGGGCGUGGAAGUUUGAGAGGGGUUACACCUAGUACGAGAGGACCGGUGUGAGGAAACCUCUAGUGUACCAGUUGUUAAGCCUUUAGCAUUGCUGGGUAGCUAUGUUUGGUUUGGAUAAGCGCUGAAAGCAUCUAAGCGCGAAGCCAUCCUCAAGAUUAGACUUCGUCUCUUUAUUUUUUGAGAUAGAGAUUCCUAGAAGAUUACUAGGUUGAUAGGCUCUAAGUGUAAGAUCGGUAACGAUUUUAGCUGAGGAGUACUAAUAGAUCGAAUACUUAACUAC
rnacentral:rRNA from 1 species